UACGAAGGGGGCUAGCGUUGCUCGGAAUGACUGGGCGUAAAGGGCGCGUAGGCGGAUGGCACAGUCAGAUGUGAAAUUCCCGGGCUUAACCUGGGGGCUGCAUUUGAUACGUGUUGUCUUGAGUUCGGAAGAGGGUCGUGGAAUUCCCAGUGUAGAGGUGAAGUGCGUAGAUAUCGGGAGGAACACCAGUGGCGAAGGCGACUUCCUGGCCUGUUCUUGACGCUGAGGCGCGAAAGCUAGGGGAGCAAACGGG
rnacentral:rRNA from 1 species